rnacentral:rRNA from 1 species
UCCUGGGUUCAUGCCCCAGUGGAGCCACGGUCUUCUAAGCAGGGUCGGUCCUGGUUAGUACUUGGAUGGGAGACCACCUAGGAAGGCCAGGUGCUGUAGGCA